AGAAUCAACGCUGGCGGCGUGCCUAACACAUGCAAGUCGAGCGCGAAGGGGGAGCAAUCCCCGAGUAGAGCGGCGAACGGGUGAGUAACGCGUGGGUAAUCUACCUCCGAGUGGGGAAUAACAGCGGGAAACUGCUGCUAAUACCGCAUGACAUCGUCGAGCCUUCGGGCCUGACGAUCAAAGCCGGGGACCGCAAGGCCUGGCGCUUGGAGAGGAGCCCGCGUCCGAUUAGCUAGUUGGCGGGGUAAUGGCCCACCAAGGCUCCGAUCGGUAGCCGGCCUGAGAGGGCGACGGCCACGACUGGGACUGAGACACGGCCCAGACUCCUACGGAGGCAGCAGUGGGAAUUUUCGCAAUGGGGAAACCCUGACGAAGCAACGCCGCGUGGAGGAUGAAGGCCUUCGGGUCGUAAACGUCCUGUCGACCGGACGAACGCUAUUGGCCCAACGACGCCCGAUAGUCGACGUGUACCGGUGGAGGAAGCCACGGCCUAACUCUGUGCCACGCACGCCGCGGUAAUCCGUA
rnacentral:rRNA from 1 species